rnacentral:lncRNA from 1 species
AGGUUUGUGGCCAGUGGCUGGGAGUCGGAUACUCUUAGUACCCGACCUGUGCAAAGUAGGUGACCCCAACGUUCCCCGCAGAGCACGCACGCCCGCGCUGCUGAGACUGGCCGCCUCUGUGGCCCCACUGGGGCCAUUCCAGCAAGUGCUCCCACUUGACGGGCAGGUAAAGCGAGGCCCGGGCAGACUUGCAGGAGAGGGUCUGGGCUGCGGCCGCGCUGAUCUUGGCUCCGGCCUCGAGCUCCCCGGUGUUGCCUCUGAGGGUGACUCAUCCCCAGGCACCUGAUUGGCCGCACACUCUCCCGCCCUGGACCCCGCCCCGCCAGCUGCUGGAUCCCAGGAAUGUGUUCGGCCUGUGGGGUCCCCAGGGAGCUUGGUGCUGGAACUGGGGUUGGCCCGGGCUUCUGCCCUUGAUGCGUUUCCCCUGGGUUUUCAGCCCUGGCGGCGUGGGCAGGCUGCAGGGUAUUUCCUCCGCCUGUUUCUGAUUUAUUCAUACAAAGCUCAUCAAAACCAACUCUGUCCCCGAUCUGACUGGCCUCAGUCUUUUAUCUGGGAAACAGGAAGCUGUGAAUUUUGCUAGAAGAAAACUAAGGUAUCUGCUUCGGGCCGUAUCCCGUGAUGCUGACCUCAGGGUUCAUGUGCCUCAAGAUGAAAUUCAGGGAAUUCCCGUGGUGGCUCAGUGGUAAUGAACCUGAUUGAUGUCUGUAAGGACACAGGUUCGAUCCCCGGCAUCACUCAGUGGGUUAAGGAUCCAAACAGCUGACAAGGUCUAGGCAGCCUUCACACGGUCCCUGUUUGGGAGGGACUUUUGAAAAACUGCAUGGACACGAUGAUCAAAGUAGGGACAUUUUGGGGUCCCGAGGCAGCAACCAGAAUCCCCGUGGGGAUGGCCCUGCAGAGGCGUAGCCGGUGUGACAGGGUGGAGGCCGCGUGACAGCAGGUAGGGGCUGUCAGGGGGCUGACGAGGGCCUCAGGCAGCGCUUGCGCACCUGCCAGGCCUUAUAAAGAAUCCGGACCCUCGGGGGAAGUAGGGAGCCACAGAAGGUGAGAGCGGGGGGCAGCCUCCGGGUGUUUGUCAGGACCCCCGCUUUCCUGACUCAGCAGCCAGCUUUCCCCCCUGCUCCUGAGUGUGAGGCUGGCCAGGGUCUCCCCAACCGUGCCUUCCAACAGCCCCCCUAGGUCUUGCGAAUAAGAAGCAGAGUUUGGGGACCCCCCCAUGCCAAGCCCCUCCCCGCCUGGAAGAGGGAGGUGGAGGCUUCUGCCCACACCACCUGAGGGACAAGACUGCCCCCACCUGCCCAGACCUGCCCAGGCCGGGUGGCUGGCUCGCUGGGACCUGGCCAAGCCCCUUCCACUGUCCACUUGACCGGCUUUUGCUGGGUCAUGGAACAGAGGGGCCCCCAGUCACUGGGAGGCGGUGUGCUUCGCAGCUGGGCUGGGGUUCGAGUCCACCUUUCCACGGGGCACUGUGGGACGUGAUGUAGGGCGUGUCCCUCUCUGCGUCUCAGUUUACCUCUCUGCAGGGUGGGGACAGUCGCUAGGGCAGGGUGCCACCUCCUGCAGGCUCCAAGGCUGCUCGUGGCUUUGAUGGACACCAGACCAGCAGACAAAAGCAGCCAGAGUGGGGUAGGGGUGGAAUGUUCCAGAGACCCGGCCCCUGAGGCCGAGCGGGGAGGGGCUGGGGACAGCCACGACCACAACCCUCCCUUGCUGUUCUAUUGUUGUGGGUCUUUCUGUGCUGGGGUGAUUUUGAGGUCUCCGUGGGGUUCAAAAUAGGGCGUUUGUGGGGGAGCUGGUAGCCCCUCUGGCUGGGGGUACCCUCCUGGUGGGGGGCAGAGGCUGGGAGUGGGGGACCGUGGGAGCCCCCCAGGCCAUGAGGGAGCCGAGCCAGCCAUCCAGGCUGGAGGGAGCAGCUGAGCUUGAUUAGACCACAAGCCGAGGGUCGGAUUCCAAUCAAGGGAGAACCUCAUUCCUAACGAGGCCAACAGCGCAGGGUUGAUUUCCCUGCUCCUUUCCGUUCAGAGACGGUUAAUGAGGCACCUACGGUGUCCCAGGCUCGAAUUAGCUGGGCAUCGCUGAGGUGCGUGGUUCCAUAUGGGCGGCCCCCAUGAAGGGGCCAGGAGACCAGAGCAGAGAAGGGAAAGGGGCUCCGGGGAGACACGACCUCCAAGCUCCGCGUGGCCGGUGACAGACCCUGGCGACGGCACGCAGCCGCGAUGCGUCGGGGUGAGAGGGACCCUCCUCCCCUCUGUGGUCUCCCCCAAAACCCAACGCCCAGCCGGACGAACCACGAGAAACACACCAGGCAAACCCCACCUAAGGGGCACGCCACCAAAACCUGGCCAGCCCUCCUCAAAACUGCUAAGUUCGGGAGUUCCCGUAGUGGCUCAGCGGUAACAGACCCGACGCAUACCCACGAGGACGCAGGUUGGAUCCCUGGCCUCGCUCAGUGGGUGAAGGAUCUGGCGUUGCCGUCAGCUGUGGUGUAGGUUGCAGAAGGGGCUUGGAUCCUGUGUUGCUGUGGCUGCGGUGUAGGCCGGCUGCUGUGGCUCUGAUUCAACCUCGAGCCUGGGAACCUCCAUAUGCUGCACAUAUGGCCUUAAAAAGGCCAAACAACAAACAAACAGAAACCUGUGAAGUUCACCCCAAACAAGGAAAGUCUGAGGAGCCCCCCCAGCCCAGAGGGGCCCAAGGAGAUGUGAUGCCCGAGCGUCAUGUGGGCUCCUGGAUGGGGUCCUGGGGCCACAGCAGGACAUUAGGGGACGAACUAAGGGACUCUGAAUAGUGCGGACUUGAGUUCCUAAGGUGGGGUCUUGGCUGAUGAAUUGUAACCAGGGCCCCACACGGACGUGAGACGCUGAAAUCCUUGGGAAAACCGGGCGCGGGCAGAUGGGAACGCUCUGUACACCCGUCUCAGUUCGGCUGCUGACCUUGAAUUGUUCUAAAUAAAUGAAAUUUUACUAACAAAAAGGAGGCUCCAGAGCCAAGAACACAUGGUGGUGGUGGUGGAGGGAUGAGUAAGACUCGGCAGCCCCAUCACAGCACAGCCCCGUCACAGCUCAGCUCAAGGCACCCAGGGAUUCUGCCGUGAAGGCCCCGUGUUGCUUUGCCUGACCCCCGAGUCCCACCCGCACUGCCCGCUGGAUACCUCCCGCGGUGGAACCAACACUCCAACAGCUGGUUCUGAGCCGCGGUGGGUGAGGAGCCCAACUUUGGUGGGACAUUGUGACCAGUGGGCCUCCUUGCCUGUCCCAGCCCUUCUGGGUGGGCGGACGGAUGCACAGCCUCUGCAGGGGUCCGUCCUGCCGUGCCACCCCCUGUCCUCUGUACCCCCGGGCUCCACGGGGGAGGGCUGGAGUCAGUGGAGAGCUUGGCAAGUCCCCGGCUGGCUGUGCAGCCUUUUUUCUGCCCGCACAGGCUGAAUCCUCGCGCCCCAGUGAGGCCAGUGUGACGGUUCCCGCCUUACAGGUGUGCCAAGUCGUGGCAGGGGUGGCAGGGCCGGAAGUCCCAGCUGAGUCUCUCCAACUGGAAAGCCAGGCUCUUACCCAGCUCACCACACCCGUCUCGGCACGCAGGGUGGCCCCGACGCCGUGCAGAACUGGUGACCGCAAGCCCGGGUGUGAACUGGGCCCUCGCCAGGGCGUGGGGCUGGCGGGGCAGUGAUGGACUGUAAGUCACACCCUCGACUUGCUCAGAUUUCCUUAUGUUUUCACGGCGAGUGUGUAUUUCCGGUGCUAUCAGACGGAGUCCUUCCACGGGGGGCGGGGGGGGGGCAAGGAUGCCUGGGGCGGCAGGAGGAAGGGAGCCCUCUUUCCAGCCCCUCCUUGCAAGAGGGCUUCAAGUCUGCCCCUGGGAAUUUCUGGUCUUGGGGGGAAGCUGGAAACCCAACAAGAGCAGCUUUGUCCCUCCAGGCCUGCGCCUGUGCAAACGCCCCAGAGCCCAGGGCAGGAGGCAGCGUGAUUCCCACACCGCCGUCCAAGAGGCAGCCGGCAACCUCGCCCGCUGCUCCCAACCACCGCCCCGUCUCCAGGCCAUCGGACGCCCCAGUGGCCCAUGGAGGUCAGUGGCUGUCACCCCACUUAGGGGCGGAGGAUGCCGGGACAAGGCAAGAGACUGCCUGGGGGGGGGGGGUGGGGGGCUGGGUUCUCGUCUCCACCCUGUGGAAACGUGCUGGGUGCCCCGGGUGAGUGGAUCUCUGUCAGAGGGGGCCCAGUAGUUACCCAGCUACUGGCCGCCUGGGGCCAGGCAGGACACCGGGGCCCAUGGUGGGGGGCGUGGCAGAGAGAAUGGCGUAUCGGGAGCUAGGUUCUGGAAGGUUCCGGAGAGGCCAGACAGGAGGGUGAGGCGGCUCAGAGACCCACACCCCCCAGGGGCCCCCAUGUCCCCCUGUGGAAGGAGGGACCGCUGGGCAGGAGCUGAGCCACAGAAGUGGUGCUGUGGUGCAGCACCCACCUCCCCAGGUCAGGUCAGAGGUACCCGUUCUCCAAGCUGCUGAGCUGCUGUCUGCGGAUGCCUUGCGGCUAGGUACUUCUCCAGAGCUGCCCCACCCAAGUUUAGGCCCUGGGGGGCAUGGGAGCACCAAGUCGCAGUCCCCUUGCCUUGACUGGGGCAGCCCUAAAGGGGAGCCCAGCGCCAGAGCUUUCCGUGAGGUCCACUGAAGCCUUCUGCCCCAUCCUGGAGCCCUCACUGGCUCACAGGUGCGUCCCUGAGAGCCCUGCCCAGUAGGCCAGCUGCCUGCAAAUCCCCCCUCCAGGCUGGUCUCCUGAGAACCUGACUGCAGGCCUUUGGGCCUAGAAAUGGCACCACGGAGACAUUGUUAAGAUGGGCUUUGGGAGGGAAGCAGUCGUUUUCAAGGGCUCGAGAAUUGGAUGCUAUGACUGGCUGUGGUCAUUGGACGGAAGAGACACAGUGAGAGCCUGAGGGUGCCUUUGCAUCGAUCUAAGAGUAAGUGUGGGUGGGAGUUCCCGUCGUGGCUUUGUGGUAAGGAGCCCGACUAGGAUCCAUGAGGAUGCGGGUUCAAUCCCUGGCCUCGCUCAGUGGGUUAAGGAUCUGGUGUGGCCAUGAGAUGGGGUGUAGGUCGCAGGCUUGGCUCGGAUCCCUUGUUGAUGUGGCUGUGUCGUAGGCUGGUACCCAUAGUUCCCGUUUGCUCCCUUGCCUGGGAACUUCCACAUGCUGCAGGUGUGGCCCU